UACGGGGGGGGCAAGCGUUGUUCGGAAUUACUGGGCGUAAAGGGCUCGUAGGCGGCCAACUAAGUCAGACGUGAAAUCCCUCGGCUUAACCGGGGAACUGCGUCUGAUACUGAUGGCUAGAGGUUGGGAGAGGGAUGCGGAAUUCCAGGUGUAGCGGUGAAAUGCGUAGAUAUCUGGAGGAACACCGGUGGCGAAGGCGGCAUCCUGGACCAAUUCUGACGCUGAGGAGCGAAAGCCAGGGGAGCAAACGGG
rnacentral:rRNA from 1 species